AACGCAUCUUGCGCUCUUUGGUAUUCCGAAGAGCAUGCCUGUUUGAGUGUCAUGAAACUCUCACCUCCAAUCUUUUUUAACUAGAAGGUUGGGGCGUGGACGUGAGUGCUGCUGGUGCCCCGGUUGCAUCGGCUCACUUGAAAUUCAUUAGCUGAAUCCUUUAAAGUAGGUUCUACUCGACGUGAUAAGAUCUCCGUCGAGGACAGUGCUUCGGCAUUGGCCAACGAUAAAGUUGAUACGCUUCUAAUUAGCGCAGACUUCGAGUGCUGGCAAUUUUGACAACUUGGCCUCAAAUCAGGUAGGACUACCCACUGAACUUAA
rnacentral:misc_RNA from 1 species